UACGUAGGGUGCAAGCGUUGUCCGGAAUUAUUGGGCGUAAAGAGCUCGUAGGCGGUUUGUCGCGUCUGCUGUGAAAACCCGAGGCUCAACCUCGGGCCUGCAGUGGGUACGGGCAGACUAGAGUGCGGUAGGGGAGAUUGGAAUUCCUGGUGUAGCGGUGGAAUGCGCAGAUAUCAGGAGGAACACCCGUAGCGAAGGCGGCACUCUGGGCCGGAACUGACGCUGAGGAGCGAAAGCGUGGGGAGCGAACAGG
rnacentral:rRNA from 1 species